rnacentral:rRNA from 1 species
CGUAGUGAACCUGCGGAAGAUCAUUGUUGAU